AGUUAAUUAGCUUAUAGAAAGCCUAUGUUUUGAAAACAUAAGAUAAAGGUUUAAUUCCUCUAUUAACUU
rnacentral:tRNA from 1 species